rnacentral:rRNA from 1 species
ACCAGACUCCUACGGGAGGCAGCAGUGAGGAAUAUUGGUCAAUGGGCGGAAGCCUGAACCAGCCAAGUCGCGUGAGGGAAUAAGGCCCUACGGGUCGUAAACCUCUUUUGCCGGGGAGCAAGGGCGGGGACGUGUCCCGGCCCGGAGAGUACCCGGAGAAAAAGCAUCGGCUAACUCCGUGCCAGCAGCCGCGGUAAUACGGAGGAUGCGAGCGUUAUCCGGAUUUAUUGGGUUUAAAGGGUGCGUAGGCGGAAUGUCAAGUCAGCGGUAAAAUUUCGGGGCUCAACCCCGUCGUGCCGUUGAAACUGGCGUUCUUGAGUGGAAGAGAAGUAUGCGGAAUGCGUGGUGUAGCGGUGAAAUGCAUAGAUAUCACGCAGAACCCCGAUUGCGAAGGCAGCAUGCCGGCUUCCGACUGACGCUGAAGCACGAAAGCGUGGGGAUCGAACAGGACUAGAUACCCGCGUC